GAGGGUAUAGCUCAGUGGUAGAGUGCGUGCUUAGCAUGCAUGAGGUCUCUUAGGAUGCAUGAGGUCCUGGGUUCAAUCCCCAGUACCUCCA
rnacentral:tRNA from 1 species